UGUCUGCAGUAAAAAGACCAAACAGUGACUCUGGGCAAGUCAGUCUCUCUGGCCUUCUAGAUCCUCACUGUGAAGAGAAACAGCUUGGACAAGAAAAACAGUGAAGUUUCUGUAUCAAAGUUAUUAGAAUUGAAUUGGGAGAGGCAGAUGCAAAAGGAGACCUGAGAUAAAGAUGCUGAGCAGUUGAAAUCAAUGACUCGCUGAGCUGAUUCGCUGCCAAAGGCUACAGCAAACAACUCCCAGGAGAAAUCAGCUCUGGCCACGGACCAGGCGCUGCGGACACUGCUAGUCAGAGCUGGUCCUUUGGUGCUAUCACCCGUAAAAUGGACGGUCGCCAGAGAAGCCAUGGAGCUAAUUAACAAAUCUGCCCCUGACUGUGCCAAAACCCACUCCACUAGGACUGCAGAGAUAGAAAGUGUUUAGACACUGGCUUAGUGAGGAAACCACUAGCCCGCACUGAAAGCCACUGUGACUACUUGGCUUCUUUUCUAGCCACUUAUACCUUCUCAAUCAGCUGCCUCCUGUGUCAGCCCUGACUGUCUUCCUUUCAUUCAUGUUCUCUAUCAUCCACCCACCAACCUUGAAGCAUCAAAGCCACCACUUAAAGUUUGUGUCUAAACCUCUGAAUAUGAUUGCACCUUUGUAAAUCUGUGUGA